GUACUGAAACGUAUGUCUGAAGGAGGAUUUAGCAGUAAGCAGGAAAUAGAGCGUCCCGCUGAAACUGGCCCUGAAGCGCGCACACACCGCCCGUCACUCUCCCCAAAAACAACAAUCAAUUAACUAAAACCUAAUAAUAAAAAAGGGGAGGCAAGUCGUAACAUGGUAAGUGUACCGGAAGGUGCGCUUGGAAAAAUC
rnacentral:rRNA from 1 species